rnacentral:rRNA from 1 species
UACGUAGGGGGCGAGCGUUGUCCGGAAUUAUUGGGCGUAAAGAGCUCGUAGGCGGUGUGUCACGUCGGCCGUGAAAACCUGCAGCUUAACUGUGGGCGUGCGGUCGAUACGGGCAUCACUGGAGUUCGGCAGGGGAGACUGGAAUUCCUGGUGUAGCGGUGAAAUGCGCAGAUAUCAGGAGGAACACCGGUGGCGAAGGCGGGUCUCUGGGCCGAAACUGACGCUGAGGAGCGAAAGCGUGGGGAGCGAACAGG